GGAAACAACCCCCACUGGGUUUCUAGGGGAAGCUCAUCGGCGCUAAAGGCUCCUCCUGCCUUGCUCAUGAAAUGCUCAAAAGCUCACACAGCCUCUGGGCUAUGCACAUUUGGAAGUGUAAAGGCCAACGCAACCUUAAUAAUGAAUCUCCUUAGCCUCACAUCUGCAGUGCUGCCAGAGUUCUGCAGGGACCCAGGUGUAUGGUGGAACAGGCCCUCAGCACCUUCCCUAGAGGUGGUUGAUGGAUGAACAAGGUGAAAGCCUACUCUGUUGGUGGAAAAUGAACAUCAGGAAUAAGAUGCUUCAUUUCAGCUUGUUACCAUUACAUCAUUUGAAAUGCAGAACAUCUUCAGAGCUUUGUCUGCUUUCAAAAUGGCCAUUGAGAACAGUUCUCAUAUGUCGGCUUUGGAUAAAUGAUAAGCCCCACUUAAACUCAUUCCAUAAUCAUCUGAAUAAUGGUGCAGUGCUAAUACAUUUCUCCUUAUUCUCCAGUGUCUUGAGCAUUAUUAAUCUUUUUAACAGACUGAAAUUACAGAUAGCCACCAGAAAAUUUUAUCUAGACCAUCUUGGGGCAUAUUUUGAUUAUUGGGGGAAAAAAAAGAAAAAGAAGGAACUAUAUUGGAGCUGCCAAACUCCUCAGAAAAUCUGUCCCCAUGAGAUUUCCUAACUUUUUGGUCCAGGUUCAGUUCUUUUCCAGAUUUUCACUUAGGUAACAAGCACUGGAAAACAGUCCACUGGGAAAUCGUGUGAGAGUGGGUUCAUGUGACAGAUCUUUCUGCAACUUGUCAUGCCACGAAUAGCAGAGCAACAGCCUUUCAGCACUCAACCAUGUCACUGCCUGCAUCACUUUGAUGGAACUGGGUUGAGUGCCUGCUUGUGGAAACAAGGAAAAAGUUAACCAGCUCUCGUUGUCUCAGGAAAAAGACUGACAGUUUUAUGGUUCCCCAGAUUCUCAUUUUCCACCUUUAAAACAGAGAGGUACUCUGUUUACCCUUCUGGUAUGCAGCACGAGUGAUUUCACAUCAAGAAGAAGCAAGAUGAUAUUGCAUUAUGACAACUGUUCUGAGUCACUGUGAAGACUAGUCAAGAAAAUAACAACAGUGAUGGGACAUGAGUGUAUCAAAUAGUUUGGCUUCUGGUAUUUUGGUGUUCUGGUAUUUAGUGCACAGCUCUUGACCUCCACCUUUCCACCUCCUGAAUUUAACUUUUCCAGCAUGCAGUGAUUGCCUGAAUAUAUGUAUACGAUCUAGCUUCACUCAUAUCCACAUUAAUCCCCCAUGUUCAAAACUAGGAAAGAAGCCUGUAGUUUAAUAAAAGAUGAAUCAUCUUC
rnacentral:lncRNA from 7 species